UUUCCUACGGGACGCAGCAGUGAGGAAUAUUGGUCAAUGGGCUUACGCCUGAACCAGCCAAGUCGCGUGAGGGAAGACUGCCCUAUGGGUUGUAAACCUCUUUUGUCAGGGAGCAACGCCGGCUACGUGUAGCCGGACUGAGAGUACCUGAAGAAAAAGCAUCGGCUAACUCCGUGCCAGCAGCCGCGGUAAUACGGAGGAUGCGAGCGUUAUCCGGAUUUAUUGGGUUUAAAGGGUGCGCAGGCGGCACGGCAAGCCGGCGGUCAAAUCGCGGGGCUCAACCCCGCCCAGCCGUCGGUACUGCC
rnacentral:rRNA from 1 species